rnacentral:rRNA from 1 species
GAUGAACGUUGGCGGCGUGCCUAACACAUGCAAGUCGAACGGUAGUCGCAAGACUACAGUGGCGCACGGGUGAGUAACACGUAGCUUACCUCCCUCUCAGCGCGGGAUAACGGCUCGAAAGAGCUGCUAAUACCGCAUAAGCUCACGGAUUAUAGAGAUUUGCGAGAAAAGGCUUCGGUCACUGAGAGACGGGGCUGCGG